CUCGAGGCCAGAUCUUUCCGGUUGAUCCUGCCGGACCUGACUGCUAUCGGAUUGAUACUAAGCCAUGCGAGUCAUUGUAGUAAUACAAGGCAGACGGCUCAGUAACACGUAGUCAAUCUACCCUAUGGACGGGGAUAACCUCGGGAAACUGAGAAUAAUACCCGAUCGAUCAUUAUGCCUGGAAUGGUUUAUGGUCUAAAUGAUUUAUCGCCAUAGGAUGGGACUGCGGUCUAUCAGCUUGUUGGUGAGGUAAUGGCCCACCAAGGCUAUAACAGAUACGGGCUCUGAGAGGAGAGGCCCGGAGAUGGGUACUGAGACACGGACCCAGGCCCUAUGGGGCGCAGCAGGCGAGAAAACUUUGCAAUGUGCGAAAGCACGACAAGGUUAAUCCGAGUGGUUCCUGCUAAAGGAAUCUUUUGUCAGUCCUAAAAACACUGACGAAUAAGGGGUGGGCAAGUUCUGGUGUCAGCCGCCGCGGUAAAACCAGCACCUCAAGUGGUCAGGAGGAUUAUUGGGCCUAAAGCAUCCGUAGCCGGCCGUGUAAGUUUUCGGUUAAA
rnacentral:rRNA from 1 species